GCGAGCGGGGGGGCGGAAGGAGGGGUAAGAGGGGGGGUGGGAGGGGUGGUCGGAGUCGCUGGGCGUAAAGGGGGCGGAGGCGGUUGGGUAAGGUGGUGGGGAAAACCCGGGGCUCAGCUGCGGGGCGGCCGGCACGACUGCGGGACUUGAGGAGGUGAGGGGCAGAUGGAAUUCCCGGUGUAGCGGUGGAAUGCGUAGAGAUCGGGAAGAAUACCAGUGGCGAAGGCGUUCUGCUGGGCCGUUGCUGACGCUGAGGCGCGACAGCGUGGGGAGCAAACAGGAUUAGAUACCCGUGUAGUC
rnacentral:rRNA from 1 species